GUUAACCCAAGAGUAACACCGCAUUUAAAAUUGCGCAAUAUAUAACUAACUAUAAAAAUAUGAUCUCAAGCAAAACCUGAUUGUUAUUUUAUUCUGUUAUGCCUGUCUAUGCUUACUCUUGAAUUUCUUAUGAAACAAAAAAAAAAGUUCAACAUAUCUUGAAGCUGACACCAAAAUGUCACCAAUUGUCGACUACUGUAACAUUCUCU